AAAGAUGAUUACUAACUACUCGUCUAUAGAAGGAAGUAAAUGAACAGUAUUUGGUAAGAUCUCUUGAGAGCUGAAACUCUGCCUCUUUGAAUAUUCAUCUACUGUUCACCACUCUCUACUGAUUUUAGCAUCGGAGGAUCUCCGCCGGAUACAAUUUCAAUCAUUGUAGAUUUCAUUUUGUAGGUGCUCUUUUUACCGACGACAGAUACAAUAGGGGAUUGGCCGCAACACAACUUAUUUAGAUCAUCACUUACAAGAGUUCAUAGUGCCACAUUAACAUGAAGUA
rnacentral:lncRNA from 1 species